AUUGAACGCUGGCGGCAGGCCUAACACAUGCAAGUCGAGCGGGGUUUUCGGACCUAGCGGCGGACGGGUGAGUAAUGCGUAGGAAGCUACCCGAUAGAGGGGGAUACCAGUUGGAAACGACUGUUAAUACCGCAUAAUGUCUACGGACCAAAGUGUGGGACCUUCGGGCCACAUGCUAUCGGAUGCGCCUACGUGGGAUUAGCUAGUUGGUGAGGUAAUGGCUCACCAAGGCGACGAUCCCUAGCUGGUUUGAGAGGAUGAUCAGCCACACUGGAACGGAGACACGGUCCAGACUCCUACGGGAGGCAGCAGUGGGGAAUAUUGGACAAUGGGCGCAAGCCUGAUCCAGCCAUGCCGCGUGUGUGAAGAAGGCCUUCGGGUUGUAAAGCACUUUCAGUAGGGAGGAAGCGUUGUGUGUUAAUAGUACACAGCGUUGACGUUACCUACAGAAGAAGCACCGGCUAACUCUGUGCCAGCAGCCGCGGUAAGAC
rnacentral:rRNA from 1 species